GAUGAACGCUGGCGGCGUGCUUAAUACAUGCAAGUCGAGCGGACAGAUGAGGAUCUUGCGCCUCUCACGUUAGCGGCGGACGGGUGAGUAACACGUGGAUACCCUACCUAUCAGACUGGUAUAACUUCGGGAAACCGGAGCUAAUCCCGUAUGAUAUACUGAACCGCGGGGUUCAAUGGUGAAAUACGGUGUUGCUGUCAGUUAUCGAUGCUUCCGGGCUGCUUUAGCUGGUUGUUAGGGUAACGGCUUACCAAGGCAACGAUGCGUAGCCGACGUGAGAGGGGGAUCGGCCGCACUGGAACUGAGACACCGUCCAGAGUCCUACGGGAGGCCGCAGUAGGGAAUGGGCGGCAAUGGGCGAAAGCCUGACGGAGCAAGGCCACGUGAGUGAUGAAGGUCUUCGGAUCGUAAAACUCUGUUAUUAGGGAAGAACAAAUGUGUAAGUAACUAUGCACGUCUUGACGGUAACUAAUAAGAAAGCCACGGCUAACUACGUG
rnacentral:rRNA from 1 species